GGAAGCUCAAGGUUUCUCCCCAAAUACCCUUGAAUCACUGUCUGCCUCCCUCCUGCAUGAGCUCUGCCCUCCAGUCCUGCCAGGAGGAGGGCAUUUGAUGUCCUUGCCCUAGGUGGUGCCAAGCCUGGGCCUCAGCCCAGAGAGUUCGUGCAGUACAGACAGCAGCAUGAGAGUUGGCGGUUCAGAGCCAGAGAAACAUGAGAGUCACAAACUAGACUCGCUCUGGGAAAAGGUUGAUAGGCACGUUUUUGUUAAGAAUAUCCACUUCACCCCAUUCUCCCUCCUGGUCCUACACUCUUGGGCAGGGGGCCUUAGUGGUUCUCCAGAUUAGUGGAGGCCACUGAAGGCUUUCCCAGUGCCCUGCCUCUUGAGUCCCAGCUCCUGUCAGGACAUAGGAUAGGGGUGGCAGGAGCUGAGUCUCAGCCUGGCCUGCAAUGACAGUCGUUCUGCUUUGAAAUCCACAGGGGACCACACCCGCCCGAACCCCCUCCUCCCUCCUCCAAGCCUUCAGCUUCCAGGCUGAGAUCCCCAGAUCCCU
rnacentral:lncRNA from 1 species